CCUACGGGUGGCUGCAGUAGGGAAUCUUCCACAAUGGGCGCAAGCCUGAUGGAGCAACACCGCGUGAGUGAAGAAGGGUUUCGGCUCGUAAAGCUCUGUUGUUGGAGAAGAACGUGCGUGAGAGUAACUGUUCACGCAGUGACGGUAUCCAACCAGAAAGGCACGGCUAACUACGUGCCAGCCGCCGCGGUAAUACGUAGGUGUCAAGCGUUAUCCGGAUUUAUUGGGCGUAAAGCGAGCGCAGGCGGUUGCUUAGGUCUGAUGUGAAAGCCGUCGGCUUAACUGAGGAAGUGCCUCGGAGACCGGACGACUUGAGUGCAGAAGAGGUCGGUGGAACGCAAGGUGUAGCGGUGGAAUGCUUAGAGAUAUGGAAGAACACCAGUGGCGAAGGCGGCUGUCUGGUCUGCAACUGACGCUGAGGCUCGAAAGCAUGGGUAGCGAACAGGAUUAGAUACCCCGGUAGUC
rnacentral:rRNA from 1 species